rnacentral:lncRNA from 1 species
UCCCUAAGAGAGCACCUGGAAAAAGAUAGAGAAAAAAAUAGAGAGCUAAAAAAGAAGGUUGGGCAGCAAUACCAUUUUCUUCUUUGUUUUGAGCAGACAAAAACGAUAGCCGCCACAACCUUUUUCUUCGUCCAAGACAACCCCCUAAACUUUAGAUUUGAAUCACCCUAAGACCACCAUAAAAUGUCCAGCCAUGGAUGCCACUGAAGCUAAAAUGUCACCCGAAAUCAUCACCUAAAACUCGACAAAACCCAGCUGAAAACCCCCCAAAAAUCAUGGUCGAACAAGGUCAGUCGAGGUCACCAAAAAGUUUUCGUUCGGGGUCAAAUUUACCCUUAGAUCAAGUUCCAUCACUCAGAAGUUUUUAUCUGUAUUUUCGUUGUCUCUAAGGUUCGUCCUUUUCACCUUCUGCUUCAAUACAAUUUCUGCCUUGUUUAGCAAAUGUCCUAUUGUUCUUGGUCUACUUGUUUUAGUUGAAUUUAGCAUGUUACGAUAUGAGUUUGCAUUUAAUAGAUUUUGGGGUUGCAAUAAUUUGAGAAAUUUGGUAUUAUGCUUUGCUCAACUUCAUUGAUCUCGUAAUUUACAGCAAAAGUUUUAGUAUAGGAAUUUAAAAUUUGAAAAGCACACUCAAGGCUCACUUUCUUGUUUAUUACAGCCUAUUUCAUAUUUAUAUUUGCCUUGUUAAGAGUUUUGAAUAUUUUUAUGUGUUUAUUUCAUUAGCUUUGCAUAAAAUUAUUUCAUGUUGGCUACUGUAUUUGGAUAAUUUUAGAAAUUGUAGAGAACAUUGAAAGGCAUGACUAAGAAUUUUCGUCCAUGUAUUUUAAGAUUAAAGAAGGUAAAAGAUGAAUUGGGAAAUGCACUGCUAAGGCAAAUGAGGUCGCAGAUUAUGAAUUUCGGGAUUUGUUUGGUUGUAUAAGAAUUAAAUUUGGACUCGAAUGAGUUAAUUAAAUUUUUGCACAGCCUGACAAUAAUAAGAGAUGUGAAAGCUAGCACAUCUUUUCAUAAUAGCUAAAAUUAUGCAUCUCUUUCACAAUAAUUUUAUAUCCAUAAAUCAUGGCCUUACAAUAAUCUUGAAUUUAGGAAAUGAGGAAUUCAUAAGCUAGUUGCUUUAAGCGCGAACUAAUAAAAUAAUUGUCCUAGUUGUGGGUUCGGUUCCCAUGGCACAACUGUGAUAUGUAACCCCAAAUUCAAGUGCACGUUCGCGUGACUUGACCCCAACUUUAAAUAAUAAUAAAAUAAAUAUGUCUUAAAUUGUGGGUGCAUUUUACGCAGCACGAUUUGCGAUGUGUAUAAAAUGACAAGUGUACGACAUCAUAACUUAUUUAAAUAAAUUUAAUAAUUAUUUAAAAUAAAUAAAAAGAGGUAGAAGAUAAAAUGCCCAAUAGGUUUUUAAACAUGUAAUAAAUCAGAUAAUUAGGCCAUUUAUUAAUAGUUGAGCAACUGUGCUAAAACCCCGGAACUCGGGAGUGCUUCAAACCUUCUCCCGGACUAACAGAAUUUCUUACCCGGUUUUCUGUGUUAGCCGACCAUAAAUAAGAGUCAAUUUCCUCGAUUUGGGAUUUUAAAAUGAACUGGUAACUUGGGGCACCAUAAUAAUUAUCCCAAGUGGCGCCUCUGAUUAAAUAAAUAAUCUCAUUUCGAAUAAUGUCACUUUAAUUGGAAAAAGUAUGGAUUCUUCGAAAAAAAGAGGUGUGACAAAGGUGAUCCGAAUAUCGAAGAGAUUACUCCCAAGAUGGCCUGACUAUGGGAGAAAUUACUCUCAAGGUGACCCGACUAUCGGAGAGAUUACUCUCAAGGUGGCCCGAAUAUCAGAGAGAUUACUCUCAAGAUGGCCCAACUAUCAGAGAGAUUUCUCUUAAUGUGGCCCGACUAUCGGAGAGACUACUCUCAAGGUGACCUGACUAUCAUAGAGAUUACUCUCAAAGUGUCCCGAUUAUCGGAGAGAUUACUCUUAAAGUGACCCGAAUAUCGAAGAGAUUACUCUCAAGGUGUCCCGACUUUUGGAGAGAUUACUCUCAAAGUGAUCUGAAUAUCGAAUAGAUUACUCUCAGAGUGUGAAGGGAUGGGUACUCUUCCCCUCCCAAAACCGGAGGCCAUUUUAGAAUGCAAAGGUUCAUACAACAUAUCGAAGUACAAGUCCAUGGAAACAAAUUGAUGGAGAAAUCCUCAACAUCAUAUGGAGGACAAAUCCAUGGCAGCAUAUAGUAGGGUAAAUCCAUAAAGAGGCCAUCUUAAGGUGCAAAGGGACUUAAAUUUUCACCUUAAGAUUGGAAAGUUAUAGUUCCCUUUAAGGACAAACCCGCAAAGAGGCCAACUUAAGGUGCAAAGGGAGUAACAUGUCCACAUUAAGAUUGGAAAAUUAUAGUUCUUUUAAGCAUAAACCCGUAAAGAAGCCAACUUAAGGUGCAAAGGGGCUAACAUGUCCACCUUAAAAUUGAAAAAUUAGAAAGCUUAAACUCGAAGACUUGGUGGACUUGAUAACAUCAAUUUGAACACUUGGCGGACUUGCAGACUUCAACUUGAAGACCGACAAGCUUGAAGAUUUGAUGGACUUAAAUUCUCAGCAGAAUUUGACGCUUCAACCUGAAGACUUUGAGGGCUUAAAUAUUUCAACUUGAAGAUCGGCGAAUUAGAGGACUUCAACUUAAAGAAUUGGAGGCUUAAAUAUUUCAACUUGAAGAUCGAAGAACUUGAAGACCAGCAGACUUAAAGAUUUGGCGAACAUGAAGACAUAGUGAACCCUCUUACUUUUGCGCAAAUAUUUGGUAGCCUCCGAAAAGACUAUAAUCAUCCGAUUGAAGACACUUAUUUACCAUGGAAACUUGCCCCCUCUAAGUCAUAUGAGAUCCAAACUUCAAUAGAAGAAUGAUAUUUCAGCUCGACUUUCAAGUGCUGGUGUAGGCAUAUAAAUUUUAUCAGAACAAAAUCCAUAAAAUAACAUGGACUAUAUUUUAAUAUAUUAGUCCAAAUAAAUAUGUUGGGAUAAUAUAAUUGAUUAAUUAUAUAAUUCCAAUAUAAUUGGACUAGCCAGUUUAAUUGAGCUAUAAAUAAUGAGCCCACUUCAUCAGACUCAAGAUAUCAUCUUCUUAGAGGUCCAGUUUGGUACCACACGUGAAAUGACGUGACACACCAAGUCAAACAGAAGAGCCAAUAAGAUCGUUCCAUAUGUUAAAAUGACAAUGCAUGACAAAUCAAAUUAAAAGGCCAAUGAAAUCGCGCCACAUGUGGAAGUAACAUGUUCUGACCAAUCAAAUAUGGCCUUGUCACUCUUCAAUCUGAUUGGUUGGAAAGAGUUUGUUCUUAUCGUAACUCUUUCCUCCCACAACUAUAAAUAGGGGUCUGCAUAACACAAAAAAGACACCAGAAGUUAUAACAAGAAGCAAAAGAGAAAGAGAAGUUAAAAAGAAAUCCAAUUCACAUCCUUAUAGCUCUAACGAUUAGGGUUUUUGCGAAGAUUGUACGUAAAGCUUCGCGAGCUCUUUCAUGGCAUCGCCGACCAGUGGCCAGCCACCUGAUGGGGUUGGUCAGUCAUCCACACCUCCCUCACAAUCUACUACAACCAUUACACCCACAAAUCUAAUCCAAAAAUAUGUUGAUCUCUUAUAACCAAAAUUAUUAAAUAAUCACAUGCAAACCCUAGCCACCGUUCCUAUAAAACCAGCGGAGUAUUUACAUGGAGAACCUAUCAUACGCUGGAAAAAGGAGGAAGUGAAGAAGUCCAUCGUUAAACAAGGCUUGCAACUGGCAGUGUUGGGUAAAUUUUCUUAUGGGAAGCGAUUAAUCAACGAAUUGCACAAAGUUAUACCUAUACAAUGUGAGUUGAAAGGUGCUUGUUCUAUAGGGCUUAUUGAAGAUAAUCAUGUGCUAAUUAAGCCGUCAUUAUUGGAGGAUUAUGUUCAUCUACUCUCAAAUCCUGCCUUUUAUUUGAAAACACAAGGUGUAUGUGGCAGAUGCGAUGCACUAAGUGGAAUCCAUGGUAGAAACCUGAUGAAGAAACUCUCAUUGUUGUUGCGUGGAUUAGCUUCCCAGAGCUGCUACCAAAUUUUUUUUGUAAGGAAUUUGUGUUUUCACUUGUAAGGGCAGUAGGUAAUCCACUUCAUAUUGAUUUGGCUAACAAAAUGACACAAGAACUAGUUCUGCUAAAGUUAAGGUAGAAGUGAAUUUACUUGCAAAAUUCCCUCAAAGGGUUAAGAUUGUGGAAGAAGAAAAUGAGACUGGGCCGGAGGAGUCUAAAUGGAUCAAGAUCAGAUAUGAUUACUUGCCAAAAUAUUGUAAGACAUGUAGAAAGAAAGGGCACAAUGAAGUUGAAUGCUGGAUAAUUCAUCCAGAAUUGCAUAAGAGGUAUGAUGACAAAGAGGAGGAGAAAACUACUGGAAAGGAUGAAGUUGGUACGGCAGCUAACUCAACCAAAGUUUUGUCAAGUGGAAAAGUGGUAGGUAAACCAAUCGCAAAUAAGGCUAAGCCGGAAUGGAUGCAAUCAAGAAAGAAUAAGUAUCAACGAGAUAAUAGGGUCAUAUGAUUGACAAUGUAAAGGACAAGGAAGCUGACAAUGUGACGGGAAAGGCCAAAGUUGAUACAGUAGCAAUGAAAACAAAUUUGAUGCAUUAGAAGUGGAAGAAUGUGAUCAAACAACAUUAAGGAUUACUGAAGGCAAAAGAGAAGACAAGGGCAGUGACAAAAAGAAGGAACAAGGGAAUAAUCAAGCCAAAAAGGUGUAGGAGAAGGUGCAAAAUUCUUGAAAUUCCAGCCUUAAUCCUAAUGGAAAUGGGAUUAGAUUAGCUGGGAAAGAGGAAUUCCUAAUCCUAUUGAAGGAGAGAGUCAAAAGCUUGAAGAAAUAAGGCUUGUGAAAAAAUAAACAGUGAAAAAAGUACUAUCCAAUGAGAAAAAGUGGAAUUCUACUCCUACGGGAUUGUCAAAUCUGUAGGUAAUGGGUCUAGAUCAGUGGCAAAAGAAGGAAUUACCAAUCCUUCAGGAGAAAGAAAUAAGGUAGUUAAGUCCGCUCCUAGUCCUACUAAUAAUGGGAGUAGGGAUGAGUUAACGAAGGAAAGAACAGUAGAUUGGGUGGCUAGAAGAUUUGGUGCAGCUCGCGAAUAUAUAAAGGUCACUACUAAUUAUUCAUGUCAAGAAAUUACCUCACAAACACUUGAUGAUAGCUCAAAGGGAAUUGAAACAUCUCACACUAAUACUGAUGCAAAGAAAGCAUAGGGAGAAUAAGUUUAGAAGUUGGAGAUCACCAAUGCAGCUGAUAUGAUUGUCAAUGGCAAUGAAAUAGAUGAAAAUCAACAAGAAGCUUGGGGUUAUAGAGGAUUAUCAAAAGAAGCUGGAAUUCAAGAUGGAUCAGCUAAUGCAACAAAGCCAAGAAACAUGCCAAUGGAACAGUAAAAUCUAGGAAUUCUGGGGAGAUUUUGGCAAAUGUGGAUGUUGUUCCAGAGUAUUUUUUAAGGAAAGAGUAGGUUAAGAAUGUCAAUGUGGAGGUAUUGAAGGAUACAAUGGGAUCAUAUCACCAAACAGUUGAUGGGAAGGGUAGUACUCCCAAUGGAAUAGUAAUUUCUGGGAAUUCUGGUAUAGUGAACCCCAGCUUGGGUUCUAUUUAUGAUUUACAAUUUAAGAUUAUGCAGGAGAAUCUGGGGAUUAUGGAGAUCAAUUCUGAGUUAUUGAAGGAGGCAACAAUGAAGGAACAUGAUCAUAUUGAGCAAGCCAUAUUACCCAGGGAGCUAGGGACAAUUGAGAUAGUGCCUAUAGCAUGUUCAGGCACUGAUCAGAUUAUGCAGUUAUACCUCAAUGUACCUAUGAAGUCACCAUUGCAGACGUUACAUGACAUUGUCACACACAAUGUAGCACCUGUAGAUGGAGCAUUCCUAGAUCAGCAACAAAUGGGAGAAGAGGGAGAUGAUGAAUCAAUUGUUGGCACUUUUAAACAAAUGGCAAGAGAAGCAGAUUUAUCACCUAAAACCAAUGCAAAGGGAGGCAAGAAAUCAAAGAAGCAGACUCAGAAUAAGGAACUUCUACAACCAUCAAGAAUCAUGCCCAGGAAGGCAGCUUCACGAACUAAGUGAUAAUGAUCAAAACACUAAUUUGGAACAUAAGGUUUGUGAUUACUCAACGGGCCUUUCCUAGAGUGAUCAACAUGCAAAGGGUGCACAAUUUCUUUGUCAUUUCAUUGAUGGAUCCAUUUCAGAAGAAAGGAUUUAUACAAAGAUAUAGGAAAAGGUUGAAUAUGGAGUCAGCUUAUUCGAGCAUUAAUGGGAGGAUUUGGUUAUUUUUUGAUAUUGUGGUGGAAUGGGAAUUAGUUGUUGAUACUGAGCAACAUGAGACUGUCAAAAUAUUUCACCAUGACAUUGGGUAGCACAUCAUGAUGACUUCUUUAUGCAAAGUGUUUUGCAUUAGAGAGGCUGGAGUUGUGGGAUAAUUUAUAUUACAUAGCAAGUGAUAUGGAGUUGCCUUGGCUAGUAGGAGGAGAUUUUUAUGUGAUAUUACAUGAAGAUGAGAAGAUAGGGGGAUUGCCAAUACACCCUCCUAAAUAUGAUGAUUUUGCCUUUUUUGUAAACUCAUGUGGAUUGUUUGAUCAAGGGUACAAAGGCAGUCCAUUUACAUGGUGGAAUGGAAGAUCCAAUAUUGAGUGUAUAUUUAAGAGAUUGGACAGGAUUCUUGUGAACUUGCCAUUUCAGAAUAUGAUGCUAACAAUUGAAGUGGAACAUUUGAUAAGUACUGGAUCAGAUCAUGCCCCAUUACUCAUUACAUAUGGAGAGCAGACCACAAAUUUUGUCAAACCAUUCAGAUUUUUGAAUUUCUGGACAAAACAUGAUACAUUUAUGGAGGUAGUGAAACAGAAUUGGAAUGCUGAUUUUAUUGGAGAUCCAUUCCUAAUGUUUUAGCCCAAACUAAAGAAGGUGAAGGCAACAUUGUCUAAAUUGAGUAGGGAUACAUUUGGUGACAUUUUCAAGCAGUUAGCUAUAUUGGAAGAUAUUGUUAGGGUAAAGGACAUUUUCAAACAGUUAGCUAGAGAGAAUAGGAUAGUUCUUUAGAAGCUCAAUCAGAAUUGAAGAAGUACUUGAGUAUAGAAGAGCAAUACUGGAAGCAAAAACUGGAAUGCCAUGAUUUGUUGAGGGUGAUAGAAGCACUAGUUUCUUUCACAACCAUGUUACUGGCAAGAGAAAGAAACUGCAAUUGAAAAGGAUUCGGAAUGGAGAUGGAGCAUGGCUUGAAGAUCAAGUGCAGAUGGCUAGUAUAGCAAUUGAAUUCUAUCAAAGACAGUUCUCAAAGGAGGGAGAUUCUACUGAUUUCUCUUUGUUAGACAAUGUUCCAACUAUGGUGACCAUAGAGCAGAAUUUGGAGCUGUGUAGAUUUCCAACAUUAGAAGAGGCCAAGGCUGCAGUUUUUGAAUUAAGUGGAGACAACGUUUGUGGUCCAGAUGGAUUCACUGGUCUUUUCUACCAAACAUAUUAGGAGGUGAUAUGAUAUGAUAUUCACAAUAUGGUGCUUCAUUUUUAUGGAGGUGCAGCUUUGCCAAAGUCCAUUACUCAUAAUAAUUUGGUGUUGCUGCCAAAGAAGCCAAGAGUCCAGACAUUCUCAGAGUUAAGACCAAUAAAAUUGAGUUAUUUCAUCAACAAAGUGCUUUCAAAAGUUGUUCAUGACAGAUUGGAGAAGUUCCGGCCUAUCUAUAUAUCUCCAACCCAAUCUGGAUUUGUAAAAAGGAAGGAGUAUCUUUGAAAACAUCCUCCUAACACAAGAAAUUUUCACUGAUAUCAAGAAGAGAGGCAAGCCUGCUAAUGUGUUGAUAAAGCUUGAUAUGACAGACAUAUGAUAUGGUGUCUUGUAAAUAUUUGAUGCAUGUGCUAAGAAAAAUGGGAUUUGCUGAACAUUUUAUCAAUAUAGUUUGGAACCUACUCUCUAAUAAUUGGUAUUCAGUGUUGGUUAAUGGACAAGCAUCAGGUUUCUUAAAGUCUACAAGAGUGGUGAAGCAAAGAGAUCCAUUGUCCCCUACCUUAUUCAUAUUAUUGUAUGAAGUUCUAUCUAGGUCUUUGAAUAAACUGUUUGAUGAUAAGUCCUUUAUUGGAUUUGGCAUGCCUAAAUGGUCUGAUCCGUUGAAUCAUUUGGAAUAUGCUGAUGAUAUAAUUAUAUUUACCUCAGCUCAUCCUUCCUCUUUGAAUGAAUUUAUGGCAGUAUUAGGAGGCUAUAAGCAGAUCUCAAGACAGCUAAUUAACAAAUCCAAGAGCUCUUAUUACAUGCAUAACAAUAUUGCACAUGCCUUAUUUCAAGCAUUUAGGGAUACUACAGGCUUUACUAGAGGGCAGUUUCCAUUCACAUACCUAAGGUGACCUAUUUUCUAUACUAAAAGAAAGAAAGAGUACUAUGAUGAUCUUAUAAAAAAAGUGAAGACAGAGUUACAUGCUUAGAAAUGCAAAUUGCUAUCAUUUGGAGGAAAGGCAACUUUCAUUACUAGUGUUCUUCAAAGCAUGCCAGUGCAUCUAUUGUCAGUACUGGAUCCUCCUAAAAAUAUACUGGAGCAUUUGCAUAAAAUCUUUGCAAGAUUCUUUUGGAGAACCAAGGAUGAAGGUAGGAGUAGGCAUUGGUCAUCCUGACAGAAUCUAUGCCUACCUAAAGAAGAAUGGGGCUUAGGUUCUAGAUUAUUACAAGAUGUCUCAAGAGCUCUAUUUGCUAAAAUUUGGUGGAGAUUUAGGACCACUAAAUCAUUGUGGUCCAACUUCAUGUGGAACAAGUAUUGUUAGAAGGAGAUGCCUACUAUUGUGCAAUUUAGGAAGGGUCUUAUGUGUGGAGGCAAAUGUUGAAUGCUAGGGAAGAAUUAGAGCAUGAGAUCAUGUGGGAGAUGAAGAGUGGAACAACCAAUAUAUGACAUGAAAACUGGAAUGGACUAGGUGCUCUCUAUCAUGUCCUACCUCCAUAUUUUCUAAUAAAUGAGGAGUUACAAGAGGUGGCAGAAUUGAGGCAAGGAGGAUCAUGGAAUGAUCAACUGAAUGAUCAAAGCUUCCCUGAGGAGAUUGUUGAUCAUAUAAGACAUAAUGUACAUUAUGAUGGCAGUAAGGAAUACUGGGACAAAACAUACUGGAUGCCAACAUCAUCAGGCAAAUUCACUGUUAGUAGUGCUUGGCAAAUUCUGAGUCAUAGAGCUGAUCCUAAUCAAGAAUUCAAAUAAAUAUGGACAAAAGGGUUGCCAUUUAAGAUAUCUUUCUUUUUAUGGAGGCAAAAACUAGCUACUGAUGAUCUAUGGAGGAGACAAGGGCAGAUGGUUAUGUCUAGAUGUUGGUAUUGUCAACAUCCAUAGGAGGAAACAUUAGAACACAUCUUAUUAACUAGCCCUACUAUAUGAAAAGUGUGAAAAUUGCUCAUGGGAGCUGCAGGGAUUAUGGUACAAUUAAUACAAGUGAUAAGGUAGUGGCGGAGUGUAAAAUGUUGCCCAAAGUUGAAACCACUGUUUCAAGCAGCUCCAGCCAUCAUUACAUGGGAGGUAUGGAAGAAGAGGAAUGCAGGCAAGCAUGGGGGAUCUGUGUCAAUUAAUAGGGUUAUUCAUAAAGUCAAUAUGACAUUGCAUCAAUUGGCAAGAGUUAGACAUCCAUGGCUAUAUCAAAUACCUAUGUUAUGGCCAGAUAUGAUCUAGCUCUUUGAAGCUUAUAAACCAGUAUUGAUCACUAGGAGAGUUACUUGGUAGCUCCCUCAUCAUGGGUGGUAUAAAACACUAAUGGAGCAUCAAAAAAAAAUGUUGGCCCUAGUUCACUUGGCUUUUAUGUGAGAAAUGAUGAAGGUGAUUUAGUGUAUGCAAGGGCAAUGGACUUAGGAGAGACCACAAAUGUUGUAGCUGAAGCAAAAGAAAUACUUCAAUGCUUGGAGUACUGUAUGGAGAAUGAUCUUUUUCCCCCUCAUAUUGUAAACUAAUUCGUUGGUGCUAAAGAAGGUGAUUGAAGGAGAAUGGGAUCCAUCUUGGUCUAUAGUUCCAUAAGUGCAGAAGAUUAAGGAGAUGAGGGAUAAUUUUAAUGUGAUCUUUCAACAUGUGUUCUGAGAGGGCGACACAGUUACAAAUUUUAUAGCUAACAUUAUUUUCUCUUUUGUAGUUGCAUCUGAAUUUCAUUCAUUUGCUGAAUAGACUUGUGCAGGGACGAGGCUACUCAAUCUUGACAAAACACAAACUCCUAAUCUCAGGGUUAGGAUUGGUGCUACUAGGUUUGUUAUUACAAUGGCCUGCAUGUCUUAUUGUAAUAUUCAAAAUCUGUAUACUGUUAGGGUAUUUUUCCAGUGGUAUUAGCAUGGUUUUAUGCUCAUUCUAGAGGUGCUUUAAUGGUGUAUAGAGGUUGUCAUAUAAGCAGGCGGUGGAUAGUGCACCUUAUAAUAUUUCUGGAAAAUCCAAUGUAUACUUAUGAGUUUCCGUAUAUACUUUGCAUUGUUUAUUGGUUCUGCUAUGUGCUUGAUCAUAGUCUAGAUUAGUGAUUGUUGAAAGACAAAAGCUGGGAUCCAAUGUUAUCAACAGGAUGGAUGAUUACUUAUGUGUACAUGUGUGCUACUAGGAUGUAAGCCAGUGGUAUUGGUAUGAUUUCAUGCCCAAUUUGGAGAUGUAAUAGCAGUAUAUAUUGCUUCAUUGAAUUGUAUUCAUGGCACAUAUGUAUAGGUUCUUAUUGGCAGAAUACAGGUCCAUAUAGGAACUUCAUGCUUAGGGAGUAUAAUACCCCAGUGUCACAUGGUAUUCUGAUGGAUUAUAGCUGGUAUUCAGAGUUUCUUGUAGGUGCAAUUUAUCAAAUUAGUAUGCUCUGCAGUGUCACCAUAAUAUCCAGUGGUAUUGACAUGGAUACAUGUCCAAUCUGGAGGUGUUAUGGCAGUGCAAGCAUAAUAUUGCAGGAUAUGGUACCUAUUAUAGGUUAUAUAGAUACUUCUUGGACUGAAUUUCUUUCAAGAUAUGUAGGGAACACAGAAUUGAUGUCUACAUUGAUAAUGCAAUUGGAAACCUUCGUGGAGUUUGGUCAUUCCUAAUAGAUGGUGUUGGUUGGAGAUUCAUAUUUGCCUUGUCCUUUGGAACGCAAAACUUGUCACCUGGUGAGA